UCGGGAAUAUUGCGCAAUGGAGGAAACUCUGACGCAGUGACGCCGCGUGCAGGAAGAAGGUUUUCGGAUUGUAAACUGCUUUAGACAGGGAAGAAUAAAGACAGUACCUGUAGAAUAAGCUCCGGCUAACUACGUGCCAGCAGCCGCGGUAAUACGUAGGGAGCAAGCGUUAUCCGGAUUUAUUGGGUGUAAAGGGUGCGUAGACGGGAAAACAAGUUAGUUGUGAAAUCCCUCGACUUAACUGAGGAACUGCAACUAAAACUAUUUUUCUUGAGUGUUGGAGAGGAAAGUGGAAUUCCUAGUGUAGCGGUGAAAUGCGUAGAUAUUAGGAGGAACACCGGUGGCGAAGGCGACUUUCUGGACAAUAACUGACGUUGAGGCACGAAAGUGUGGGGAGCAAACAGGAUUAGAUACCC
rnacentral:rRNA from 1 species